rnacentral:tRNA from 1 species
AUUACUUUGGCAGAAAAGUGCAAUAGAUUUAGAAUUUAUUUAUAUAUUAAUAAUUUAAUAUAAGUAAUA